rnacentral:lncRNA from 10 species
GGCCUGGCCACCUCUGUUGACAUGAUUGCAGGGAGAGGCUCCUCCGUGCUCCUGAGAGGCCGAACACAGGGUCGCCAGCACAGCUUACUGCUCGGUGUCUCCUGAGCCACAGAGGAAGACGUGGCAGGAGCACCUGGUGCUAAUAUAUAUUCAUGUCUAUGGCAAUGCCGACCAUCUGGCUGGUCUGAACCAGGAUAAAAGUGAAGAAUUCCUCUGUGAAGACCCAGCUCUUUCUUUGGCUCCUUUUUUGAAGCCAUCUUUGCUCUGCUCUCCUCUGCUGCCCAGGUAUGUGCAGUAUAAACAAGUUACACACAUAUCGCAUAAAUCCAUGCUUGUGAAAAAUCCAAAUAAUGCAUAAGCAUAUAAAAAUUAUUGUCUUCCUUUACUCUCCCAAUGGCC